rnacentral:rRNA from 1 species
UACGAAGGGGGCUAGCGUUGCUCGGAAUCACUGGGCGUAAAGCGCACGUAGGCGGAUCUUUAAGUCGAGGGUGAAAUCCCGGAGCUCAACUCCGGAACUGCCUUCGAUACUGAGGACCUUGAGUCCGGGAGAGGUGAGUGGAACUGCGAGUGUAGAGGUGAAAUUCGUAGAUAUUCGCAAGAACACCAGUGGCGAAGGCGGCUCACUGGCCCGGUACUGACGCUGAGGUGCGAAAGCGUGGGGAGCAAACAGG